AUAGUUUAACUAAAAUAUCGGUUUUGUAACCCGAAGUUCAAUAUAUUUGUUAUAGC
rnacentral:tRNA from 1 species